UCAGAAAUCUUGUUGAGCAACAUUGAAGAAACCCUCAAAAAUAUACUCACAGAGUCAGAAUAUGUUUACGGACGAAUUCGAGGCAGGUUCGGGACACAUCCUGGAAUCCAAGGAUUCAAUAGACAAGGCAGAGUUUCAUAU